GGGGCAUUAGCUCAUUUGGCUAGAGCGCUACGCUGGCAGUGUAGAGGCGAUCGGUUCGAAUCCGAUAUGCUCCA
rnacentral:tRNA from 2 species